rnacentral:rRNA from 1 species
GAUGAACGCUGGCGGCGUGCCUAAUACAUGCAAGUCGAACGAGGUGCUUUUGUAGCAUUACGAGAGUAUCCUAGUGGCGAACGGGUGAGUAACGCGUUGGUGACCUACCCCAAAGUGUGGAAUAACAGGCCGAAAGGAUUACUAAUACAGCACGUGGGUAUCGGGGUUAGAAACUGAUAACUAAAGGAGCAAUUCGCUUUGGGAGGGACCUGCGUCCCAUCAGCUAGUUGGUGAGGUAAUGGCUCACCAAGGCUACGACGGGUAGGGGACCUGAGAGGGUGACCCCCCACAAUGGAACUGAGACACGGUCCAUACACCUACGGGUGGCAGCAGUAGGGAAUAUUGCACAAUGGGCGAAAGCCUGAUGCAGCAACGCCGCGUGCACGAUGAAUGCCUUCGGGUCAUAAAGUGCUUUUCUGGGAGAUGAGAAAGGACAGUAUCCCAGGAAUAAGUCUCGGCUAACUACGUG